CCCCUAGAUGUUCUGGGCCGCACGCGCGCUACACUGAACAGUUCAACAAGUCUUAACCUUGGCCGAUAGGUCUGGGUAAUCUUUGAACGCUGUUCGUGAUUGGGAUAGACCUUUGCAAUUAUGGGUCUUCAACGAGGAAUUCCUAGUAAACGCAAGUCAUCAGCUUGCAUUGAUUACGUCCCUGCCCUUUGUACACACCGCCCGUCGCACCUACCGAUUGAAUGGUCCGGUGAAAUCUCGGGACGGCGGCUUGGUCGCUUGCGUCCGACUGCUGAAACUUGAUUAAACCAUAUCAUUUAGAGGAAGGUGAAGUCGUACCA
rnacentral:rRNA from 1 species